AGUUUCAUGGCGGCCCGUACCCUAAACCGACUCAGGUGGUCAGGUAGAGAAUACCGAGGCGUUCGGGUGAACUAUGGUUAAGGAACUCGGCAAAAUGCCCCCGUAACUUCGGGAGAAGGGGGGCCAUGUCUGGUGAUCCGAUUUACUCGGUGAGCUGGGUGUGGCCGCAGAGACCAGCGAGAAGCGACUGUUUACUAAAAACACAGGUCCGUGCGAAGCCGUAAGGCGAUGUAUACGGACUGACGCCUGCCCGGUGCUGGAACGUUAAGGGGACCGGUUAGUCACAUUUCGGUGUGGCGAAGCUGAGAACUUAAGCGCCAGUAAACGGCGGUGGUAACUAUAACCAUCCUAAGGUAGCGAAAUUCCUUGUCGGGUAAGUUCCGACCUGCACGAAUGGCGUAACGACUUCUCGACUGUCUCAACCAUAGGCCCGGUGAAAUUGCAUUACGAGUAAAGAUGCUCGUUUCGCGCAGCAGGACGGAAAGACCCCGGGACCUUUACUACAGUUUGAUAUUGGUGUUCGGUUCGGCUUGUGUAGGAUAGGUGGGAGACUGUGAAGCAUGCACGCCAGUGUGUGUGGAGUCGUCGUUGAAAUACCACUCUGGUCGUGCUGGAUGUCUAACCUGGGUCCGUGAUCCGGAUCAGGGACAGUGUCUGAUGGGUAGUUUAACUGGGGCGGUUGCCUCCUAAAGAGUAACGGAGGCGCCCAAAGGUUCCCUCAGCCUGGUUGGUAAUCAGGUGUUGAGUGUAAGUGCACAAGGGAGCUUGACUGUGAGACCGACGGGUCGAGCAGGGACGAAAGUCGGGACUAGUGAUCCGGCGGUGGCUUGUGGAAGCGCCGUCGCUCAACGGAUAAAAGGUACCCCGGGGAUAACAGGCUGAUCUUCCCCAAGAGUCCAUAUCGACGGGAUGGUUUGGCACCUCGAUGUCGGCUCGUCGCAUCCUGGGGCUGGAGUCGGUCCCAAGGGUUGGGCUGUUCGCCCAUUAAAGCGGUACGCGAGCUGGGUUUAGAACGUCGUGAGACAGUUCGGUCCCUAUCCGCUGUGCGCGUAGGAAUAUUGAGAAGGGCUGUCCCUAGUACGAGAGGACCGGGACGGACGAACCUCUGGUGUGCCAGUUGUUCUGCCAAGGGCAUGGCUGGUUGGCUACGUUCGGGAGGGAUAACCGCUGAAAGCAUCUAAGCGGGAAGCCUGCUUCGAGAUGAGUAUUCCCACCUCCUUGAGAGGGUAAGGCUCCCAGUAGACGACUGGGUUGAUAGGCCGGAUAUGGAAGCCCUGUAAGGGGUGGAGUUGACCGGUACUAAUAGGCCGAGGGCUUGUCCUCAGUUG
rnacentral:rRNA from 1 species